rnacentral:tRNA from 1 species
GGCCGGUUGGCGCAAUGGUAGCGCGUAUGCCUCCUAAAACAAGUACAGCAUAAGGUUGCGGGUUCGAGUCCCGUGCUGGUCG